rnacentral:rRNA from 1 species
AACGGAGGGGGCAAGUGUUACUCACAGUGAUUGGGCGUAAAGGGUAAGUAGAUGGUUUAAUAAAUUUAUAUUUAAUUUCCAUGGCAUAACUGUGGUAAUUUAUAAAUAUUGUUUACUAGAGUGUAGGAGAAGUAAAUAGUACUUUUAAAGUAGAAGUGAAAAGCGUUGAUAUUAAAGGGACUCUCAAAGGCAAAGGCAGUUUGCUAUUUUACACUGACGUUCAGGUACGGAAGCAUGGGUAUCAAACAGG